GUUGAGGUUUCUCAACCUCAGCACUACUGACAUUGUGGCCCAAAUGAUUACUGCUUGUUGGGAAUUGUCCUGUAUGUUAUUUAGCCUAUCCUAGAAUGUCAUACAAAUGGAAUAUACUUUUUUGUUUGGCUUUUUUCACUUAACGUAAUGUUGAUGAGAUUCUUCCAUGUUGUUUUGUAUAUCGCUGGCUGUUCCUUUUUUUUUUUUUUUGAGAUGGAGUCUCGCUCUG
rnacentral:lncRNA from 10 species